AAGGACUUCAGGGUGUAAAGGGAAGUAAAGGAGACUCUGGCCCUGCUGGUCCAAGUGGUGAACCAGGAAUAAAAGGCCAAAAGGGAGAGAUGGGUCUUGCAGGUUUCCAAGGACAGAAGGGAGAAAUGGGUGAGAGGGGAGAUCCUGGGCCCCCUGGACCUAGGGGUCCCCAAGGAGAGCAAGGAGACACAGGACUGCCAGGUUUCAAUGGCAGCAUGGGGGAGCCUGGGCCUCCUGGGCAGAAAGG